UACUGGCCAUGGGAUACUGCUACUACUACUGUUGAUCAUCCAUCUAAUUAUGAUAAUAAAGGAAUGAUGAGAUCAGUCGUAACAGUGAAAUCUUCUUUUCUACUACUACUACUUCUAGGUGCCAAGGGAAUAAUAAUAAUAAAUCUGAGUGCAUGACGACGAUGGAUUUGUCGUCGGAGAUUAUAAGCCGAAGAACGCUUGGUGAAGGAGGUCAAUACAUUAGCUACGUUGCACUCUCUAAGGUAACUAAUUCAGUUUUAUUAAGUUACCAAUUUAGUUUGAAUGUGAUGCAGUUAAUAGCUAACUAUUCAUACAAAGGUAACUAUUUUAGUUUUUGUGGAUAACCAAAUAGUCAUAAAAAAAAUUCAGAACAGUAAGAGUUGCAUCUAUUUAUUUUUAAAUUUUUUGUAGGUAAAUAUUCUUCUUCUUCUCAUUGGCGUUUUGGACAACGGAGAUUAGCGGCGGAAUAGCGGAGGAGAGGGCAACCUGUGAGGGAGAUCAAGAUUUGAAUUUGAAUAUUUGAAUUUGAAUUAUUAUUUUGAAUUUGAAUUUAUUUUUGUUGUUAGAUCUCAGAUAUUUGAAUUUAAAUUAUUAAUUAUGACAGUUAUUUCUCCUUGAUUUUAGGUUUCCUUAUUAAUGUGAAU
rnacentral:lncRNA from 1 species